GGGGUUGUUUGGUUUUGACAGCGAGGUCAGUGGAUUUGUAAGCACGUCGAGGGUUGUAUGCCAGCCUCGUUAAUCCCAACAUUCACGCCUAUAAAUGGCAACAAUACAACUUAUGCUCUCGCAGCUUAAUAUCAGAUAUUAAGUUAGAGCUGCUUCCGCGAAAAUCUUUGAUCGACCGAUUUCGCCUGAAGUAUCAAAACGCUCGAUCCGAAUGUUUAGAGGUUUCUGUAAACCAUUUGUAUCACUGAAACUAAGUUGUGUUUCGGUUGGCUUUUGACCAAAAACACAAACGAAAAUCCGACAAAAGCUAAGCGUGUAGAAAGCAUUUUUGCUGCUUGUUUGGACGGCGGUUCGAAUCCGCCCAACUCCACAA
rnacentral:tmRNA from 1 species